UACGUAGGGGGCAAGCGUUGUCCGGAAUCAUUGGGCGUAAAGAGCGUGUAGGCGGCUUCGUCAGUCCGUUGUGAAAGUCCAGGGCUCAACCCUGGAAUGCCGAUGGAUACUGCGGAGCUAGAGUCCGGAAGAGGCGAGUGGAAUUCCUGGUGUAGCGGUGAAAUGCGUAGAUAUCUGGAGGAACACCGGUGGCGAAGGCGGCAUCCUGGACCGACAUUGACGCUGAGGCACGAAAGCGUGGGGAUCAAACAGG
rnacentral:rRNA from 1 species